rnacentral:misc_RNA from 1 species
GAUGAAGAACGUAGCGAAAUGCGAUACUUGGUGUGAAUUGCAGAAUCCCGUGAACCAUCGAGUCUUUGAACGCAAGUUGCGCCCGAAGCCGUCAGGCCGAGGGCACGCCUGCCUGGGCGUCACACGCCGUUGCCCCCCCGCGCCCCGCACCCAACUCUUUGGGAGCGACCGCGGGGCGGGCUGAUGAUGGCCUCCCGUGCGCUCCGCCGCGCGGUUGGCCCAAAUACCGAGCCCCCGGCGACGUGCGCCACGACGAUCGGUGGUUGAGAGACCUCUGUCGCAAGUCGUGCGCGCCCGUCGCGUCACGCGGGCUCGCAUAGCGCCUCGCGCCGCACCCGGUGCGGAGCUUUCAACGCGACCCCAGGUCAGGCGGGGUUACCCGCUGAAUUUAAGCGUAUCAAUAAGCGGAGGA